AACGAACGCUGGCGGCAUGCCUAACACAUGCAAGUCGAACGAGAUCUUCGGGUCUAGUGGCGCACGGGUGCGUAACGCGUGGGAAUCUGCCCUUUGGUUCGGAAUAACAGUUGGAAACGACUGCUAAUACCGGAUGAUGACGAAAGUCCAAAGAUUUAUCGCCAGAGGAUGAGCCCGCGUAGGAUUAGCCAGUUGGUGUGGUAAAGGCGCACCAAGGCGACGAUCCUUAGCUGGUCUGAGAGGAUGAUCAGCCACACUGGGACUGAGACACGGCCCAGACUCCUACGGGGGGCAGCAGUGGGGAAUAUUGGACAAUGGGCGAAAGCCUGAUCCAGCAAUGCCGCGUGAGUGAUGAAGGCCUUAGGGUUGUAAAGCUCUUUUACCCGGGAUGUUAAUGACAGUACCGGGAGAAUAAGCUCCGGCUAACUCCGUGCCAGCCGCCGCCGUAA
rnacentral:rRNA from 1 species